rnacentral:rRNA from 1 species
ACUCCUACGGGAGGCAGCAGUAGGGAAUCUUCCACAAUGGGCGAAAGCCUGAUGGAGUAACGCCGCGUGGGUGAAGAAGGUCUUCGGAUCGUAAAAACCCUAGUUGUUAGAGAAAGAAAAGUGCGUGAGAGUAACUGUUCACGUUUCGACGGUAUCUAACCAGAAAGCCACGGCUAACUACGUGCCAGCAGCCGCGGUAAUACGUAGGUGGCAAGCGUUAUCCGGAUUUAUUGGGGCGUAAAGGGGAACGCAGGCGGUCUUUUAAGUCUGAUGUGAAAGCCUUCGGCUUAACCGGAGUAGUGCAUUGGAAACUGGGAGACUUGAGUGUAGAAGAGGAGAGUGGAACUCCAUGUGUAGCGGUGAAAUGCGUAGAUAUAUGGAAGAACACCAGUGGCGAAAGCGGCUCUCUGGUCUGUAACUGACGCUGAGGUUCGAAAGCGUGGGUAGCAAACAGGAUUAGAUACCCUGGUAGGAUA